rnacentral:rRNA from 1 species
CCUGGCGGCGAGUGGCGAACGGGUGAGUAAUAUAUCGGAACGUACCCAAGAGUGGGGGAUAACGUAGCGAAAGUUACGCUAAUACCGCAUACGAUCCAAGGAUGAAAGUGGGGGAUUCGCAAGAACCUCAUGCUCCUGGAGCGGCCGAUAUCUGAUUAGCUAGUUGGUAGGGUAAAGGCCUACCAAGGCUACGAUCAGUAGCUGGUCUGAGAGGACGACCAGCCACACUGGAACUGAGACACGGUCCAGACUCCUACGGGAGGCAGCAGUGGGGAAUUUUGGACAAUGGGCGCAAGCCUGAUCCAGCAAUGCCGCGUGAGUGAAGAAGGCCUUCGGGUUGUAAAGCUCUUUUGUCAGGGAAGAAACGGCUGAGGAUAAUACCCUUGGCUAAUGACGGUACCUGAAGAAUAAGCACCGGCUAACUACGUGCCAGCAGCCGCGGUAAUACGUAGGGUGCAAGCGUUAAUCGGAAUUACUGGGCGUAAAGCGUGCGCAGGCGGUUUUGUAAGUUUGUCGUGAAAGCCCCGGGCUCAACCUGGGA